rnacentral:lncRNA from 1 species
CGCCUCGGAGAGCUGGGAGGGGGCCCAGCGGGGCUCCUGGCGAGGCGCCCGCACGCUGUGAGCCCUUCCCAAACGGCAGCUUAAAUUACAAACAAAAAGAGAAGCUGGGGAAGUCAGGAUGGGCCCAGGCUGCUUGUGACAGGGACCCACAUCCAGGCAGGAGGGAGGCCUGCUCUUCCCACCUUCCAGCUCUCGGAGCCACAUGCCCCGAAGCCCGUAGGCCUCCGUCCAGCUGCGCCUGGGCUGACAGUGUCCCCAUCUUCCCGGCGGGGCGAGGACCAGAGGGGCGCCUGCCAUCCUGCUCUCACCAUUGGGGUGAGCCCCUCUCUCAGCUCCCCCCGCCCGACGCUGUGUCAGCAGCUUGAGAACAAACCCCCCGGGAGUGGGUGCUGCUGGGAACACACCCUCAUGCGUGGUUGGAGGAGCAGAAUGAAAAUGGUGGGGCAGACGUUGCCCGGGAGAGGAAGGGGAGGCAGGAAUGGUGGAGCAGCCGCGCAGAGAGAGGGCUCGGGGCUGGAGUCCUAGCGAGCUGUUGCUGCGAAAGGUGGUGAGCACCUUCCAGGCCUGGAUGACAAAGGACAGGACAGCUCUGGGGAGGGCACAGAGCCUUGCAUUUCUGCCCUAACCCCAGCCUGAGCCUGAC